rnacentral:rRNA from 1 species
CAGCCGCCGCGGGAAUACGAAGGGGGCUAGCGUUGUUCGGAUUUACUGGGCGUAAAGGGCGCGUAGGCGGACUGAUAAGUCAGGGGUGAAAUCCCAAGGCUCAACCUUGGAACUGCCUUUGAUACUGUUUGUCUUGAGUUCGAGAGAGGUAAGUGGAACUGCGAGUGUAGAGGUGAAAUUCGUAGAUAUUCGCAAGAACACUAGUGGCGAAGGCGGCUUACUGGCUCGAAACUGACGCUGAGGCGCGAAAGCGUGGGGAGCAAACAGGAUUAGAUACCCCGGUAGACCCUGUCUCUUAUAC